UCGGGAAUUUUGGGCAAUGGGCGCAAGCCUGACCCAGCAACGCCGCGUGAAGGAUGAAGUUUUUCGGAAUGUAAACUUCACAAGAAUGGGAAGAAUAAGUCCUGGCUAACAUCCAGGACGAUGACGGUACCAUUUGUAAGCUCCGGCUAACUCCGUGCCAGCAGCCGCGGUAAUACGGGGGGAGCAAGCGUUGUUCGGAUUUACUGGGCGUAAAGGGCGCGUAGGCGGCGCGACAAGUCACUUGUGAAAUCUCCGGGCUCAACUCGGAACGGCCAAGUGAUACUGUCGUGCUAGAGUGCGGAAGGGGCAACUGGAAUUCUCGGUGUAGCGGUGAAAUGCGUAGAUAUCGAGAGGAACACCUGCGGCGAAGGCGGGUUGCUGGGCCGACACUGACGCUGAGGCGCGAAAGCUAGGGGAGCGAACGG
rnacentral:rRNA from 1 species